ACCCCGGAUAUACCGGUUAAUCCGAUAAUCCGCUGCUUCGGUCCAUUGCUCUGUCGAUCGCUCUAUUCUUGUCCCCGCCUCUAUACCACCACCGCCACCACUUUCCACCUCCUUUUUUUACCCUUUCUUUUCAUUUUCCCUUGUUUAUCCAACAACUCGCGCCGGUGUUGCGUUUCUUUGACCCCAUGGCUAUUUGAAAGUCGAAACAUCCAGGGGGUAUAGAGAUACUUACUCCAAGUCUUGCGAGGAUCCCGAAAAAGAAAGCGAAAAUGACAUCCAUUGAACAGCAACGUUCCAUCGUUGCGAGUGUUCGUAUUUCCGAAAGAAACUUGCUAGUUUCGCGGUGAAAAGUUUAAAAGAUUAUGGAGGCGCCCCGAGUGAAAUUUUAACCAGAAUUUCAAGUGGCAAGGAAUUUUCUCGAGGAAUUUCCCGUUUAGUAAUUUCUCUGUGUUUUCCGUUCGCGAGUAACGAAAGCCCAAGUGGUCGGGUUCCCAAGGACAAAGCACCGGGUAUUUUCUGGGUUAGUUGCCCGAGAAAACGGUAGCCCGACAGCACGAUGCCCUUCCAGACAAUAAAUAUAUAUACACAUACUCACACCUUUAUGUUUAUACAUGGGGCGUACAUGUAAAAGGUAGAUAGACGCGCAGCUAUGUACAAGUUAGAUUAAAUCCGGCUCUGUACGAAAUCCCAGAAAUCGCGGUACCUACCGAUCCGACGCGACGCGACGCGACGCGAUGCCGUGCCACGGUCAGCAAUACUUUACACCUGUCACGCUACAGACCUAAUUAGAUGCGACGGGCUUAAUCUCGUUACCCGUUCGUUCAACGAAACGACCUUUUCCUAUAGCCCUAUAUUCCUAUACCGAGCAAGCUACGAGGGAUUUCACGAUGAUAAUUAGAGGACGCUUCGAUCGAAACGAGCACCUCUACUUCGAUGUUAGAGAUUCAAAUUUUUUAACUAAUCAAUGUCCAGUUAGCGGUUUAAAUUCCCCACCUAACUGAAUUAUAAUAAAUUGAAAACUGCCAACAUGGCAGUAUACCAUAUCUGUCGCAUUACUCGUAAAGACGAUCAGUGACCCAGAUUUUCCCAAGAGAGCUCCGCGAUAGUUCGUCUCCGUUCGAUUUAAUAAACUCAGCUUUUUAGAUUCCCUCAGCUACUUUUCCUCCUCGGACGAAUCUUCCGUUUUCGUUCGAAGUCGGUCAAUCUGGAAGGUGGUUCGUCGAACGACACCCGCUGUGUGUGGCUUGGCUCGAUUCCGAUCGAUCCCUUUGACAUCAACCUCCCUCUAAAUUGAGGCGCUUCUUUCUUUCCACUUUCCUCCGCAGUCUCUUACGUUUUGCGACCCAAACAGUUGCUCUUUGCCCGAAAUUCGUUUACAUUCGACGAUUCUGACUCCUCAUCUUUUUCAAUCGCCUUCGCUUUCCAACUCUAUCGUACACCUUCGUUGACACCUUGACUGUCACGGUGAUCAAAGUGUAAUAAUUAAUACCAUAAUUGAAGAUUUAAAUUCAGAUCUUUCAUGAGCGUAACUUUCACGUGUCUGACUAAGCGUGGCAGUCGGCGCGGCGCCGAAAUUACGUUUUAUACUACUUAUCCGAUCGGGAAUAAAGUUUGCAAACGAGAUUCGAUCUGGAAAGCGGAAAGGGCGAAAUGAAAAGUGAACCGUGCUUCGAUCGUUUGCUCGUGAAAGGGUUACGAAAAGUAGACGCGAUUAGGGGAAAUACAUAGGGGGUAGUGUGGGUAACGGAUAACAGGAAACGUGAAACGGGUGACGACGAGUGACAGGAAACGUGCUGCGGGACAGAGAGUAGGCGGGAGGCGGAAGCAGAGGUUGGGAGCAUCGUAGGGUUGAAGCGGCGUGUAGUAGGGACUUAAACAAAAGAGGGUCGUUAGAAACAAGUGGCGCCGAUUAAAAACGCCGACGCCACUCGCCGCGACUCAUCGACAAACAACUUUGCUUUUCUUUCUUCUUGAUCGCGUUUAAUUUUCCUCUUCUUUUUAACCGAUCAAUUAAUCGACGUUUUCAAGCGAGCUCACAAAAGGUAAUAAAUUUUGGAUUAGCGAAAAAAGUGGACAAGUGUGAAAAAUGUUAAGAGGCAAGACGUUUCGAAGGGGGGAGAAGGUAAUUGCGCGACUCGUGACACUAGGUCGAGAGGAGGUCGCGAAAGGUCUGUCCUACCGCCAUAGCAUCGUAACGUCCUGCGACCUACAUCAACGAAAACGCGAGGAUACAUUAUUACUAUCAUCGGAAAGCAAAGCUCCGAUGGUGCGACGGCCGCAGGGUGUUUCAGGGUCGGUUGCCAUGGCAAUGCGCUGGGACAGCCACGGGGUGCAGCCUGGAAUAUCCACCCUCUUGCCUCUUUUCCGCGAUUCUCCCUGCUUCCCCCUACAUUCGCCUCUCUCCUCGUCCGUUUCUCUUCUCCCCCUUUCCAACGUCCCACAUCCUUUCCACCACCCAGCAUCCCCUCUUCUCCUACCCUCCCGAAUCCUCAUCUCCCUCUACUACCCUCGUCCUUUUCGGUACACCGUCUCUCUCGCUGAUAUCGUUAAGCUCUUCCUCUCUCUUUCCCGUAUGCUUUCUCUUCUGCCGACUGUACUCCGCCGUCUCCGAUACUCUCUGUCUAAUCGCGCUACUCGCGCCCGCUUUAUUUCGUCACGAGGGAUUUUAUCGGCUUGCGAAUUUCGUCGUCGCGAUCGAUGACGCGUAAGCGACGUCAAGGAUGGUGGUUAUGUUUUUCCUCGCUUUCUUCUUCCUUUCCUCGAUUCCCGUACUCUCCCGAAUAAAGGGCAAACGGCCACGGACUAAACGAAACCUUUUCAUCCAGAUAUCUUUAAUCGCGCCGACACAAAGAACGUCUGGGACACUGAAAGUCGGAGGCGUUUCCCUCUGAACCAUUCAACGAGCUAGACGGAACCUCUUUUUUCAUCGAAAUCAUCGACACUGGUUCAAUGUGCUAAACGCGUUCGCGAUAUAGUAUAGGUACAAUAUGUAUGUACGUAUCAAUAUUCUUUCUCUUUGAAAAAUGACGCGAAUGAAAAUUUCAGGAAACCACUCGUGUCUGACUGGAAGAAAAAUUGAAAGCGCGAAGAACGGAGCAAACGUUUGCUUAGCAAAACUCGUAACCGACGUACGAAGAAGAGCUGUCUGCCGGUGAAACUGACGAUGAGGUCGAAAGACGGCCCGGGUGUUUGAUAGUCUUUAAUAUGCAGAUAACGAAAUCAUACUCGUGGAGCUUCGCCACCCACGGCACGAGGCGAAUUACCUACUACUCUACUAGGCGAGAGAAAGAAUAAUUUUGAUGAAAAUGAACAUUGCGGCGACAGAGUGACGGCAACGAAAAAGUUUCCCGUCGAAAAGUGGUAAAGCCAGAUAGAUAAGGUCGACAACGUAAGCUUCUUUUUUACGAGACUCGAUGCAAUAUUUUACGGGCGAUCGACGACGGCCGAUCCAAGUACUUGGGUAUCCCCUCGCGAAGAAAAUAUGCUGGAUACUGGUUUCUGCGUAGAACGCGAAUUUUCUUUUCCCCUUACUACGAAUCGCAGGAAUGUCGGCACGCCACGGCAUCCCCUUUGCGAAAGAAGGGGAAACUUUGUGCAGAGAAGAAGGGUAAUAAAUGGCCAGAAUGAAUAAUAACUCGGUUAUUGAAAGAAAAUUCCGACCGAUACGAGUUCUGAAACUUGGAAGCAUUAGCCCAGUUCCACGAGCUUGCACGGAUAAGGCAUCGACUCGGUUCUCCUUCUCUCAGCCCCUUUUCCCUCCUCUUUCUCUUCCCAACCAGCUAGUCGCGCGACCCUCUUUUGCCUUUCGUCUUCAGACUUCUCCGACUAUACGCUUUGGCUGCCGUUACCGACCAACCAACGUCCCAAACCACCCCCAAUCUACCGAGCCUCCAAGCCUCCAAGCCACGUCCGCAUAAUGGCUAUUCAGAUAGCGAAUCGAUUUAUUUCCCCGGGGGGAGGAAGGCGCACGGAUACUUGGAACCUCUCUUCUCAUCAACUUGCAACUUGGAACGAUUUUGGCCUUCUUCGUAUUCUUUCGUUCGCCAACCAUCCGGCAGCUAUCGGACAACGUCAGAAGCGUUCGUUAAGAUCGAUGCGAGCAUGACAAACCUUUCGAUAGAAUAAUCGUUUCUAUAAGAAGACGAUAACGACUAAUUGUAAGAAUAAAGCGAGUGUCAGCGAAUGCUUGCGAAGGAAUGGUGACUUCCUAUACGGGGUGACCCUCGUACGGCACUAGCAAAUUUAUCGAGUUAUCGAACGAAAAGUGGCCGCAAAGAAAUCGACCGUCGUCGCUACCUUCGCUCUACUCGUUUCGUGUAGAUUAGCAGAGCACGUUCAUCUUCGCAACGUUUUCAGACGAAAAUAAAGCGGGACAGGAAAAAAAGGAAGAUACCGUUCCUUUUUCCCUUUGAACGUGACUCGCGUCCGAAAGCUUCAACCAUUGCAUCGAGGAAAAGUAUACGAACCGACGCGACCUCGACGUUGAAAAAUUCCGAAAAAAGAAAAAUAAGACACGUUCGAGGACAGAGGACCGUGUACUUACUUAGGCGUGUGACACGUUCGUUUGCACGCGAAUGCUUUCGACUAUCCGCGCGGCAGUUGUCCACACGCACCGUGUCUACUCUCGUUUCAAGAUAAAAGACGAUUUUACAGAUAAAGGCUUUCGAGAAGAUGGGUCGACGAGCUGAACUUGGCAUCGACGAGAAGAGCAGGUGAUUGUUGCAGAUAAGUGGCAUUGGAAGUUAGAGAAAGCCGCGAAACCGUGUGAAAGAUGUGUGUAGGGUCGAGGGUACGACCGAGAACGAUUAAAGAUGGAAGAGAGCAAGCUGGAUGGCUACGGCCGAUACGGUAAUCCACUAUAUGUAAUCUUUUCUCCCAGUUUCCUAGUCUUUGACGGAACCCCGCAACUAGCGAACGCUCGCUCCAAAUUUCCUAUCGACCGUACCUACGCUCCUUCUACCUCCUACAUCUGAAACGAUCGUUUCUUCUCCAUUUCCUCCUAUCACAAUUUCACGAUCGUGCAACUACCUGGAGAAGGAGAUUCGGUAACACACGCGUAACUACUUCUCGUUCAGGGAUCAGAUUUGAGUUCGUGCGAUACAAUAACUAAAUUCCUACACUUUCUAUUCUUCCUUCCGUAGUUACGUUGUUCCGCGAUUGAAAAGCGUGGAUUGAAAAUCGAUACGAUAUCGUAUGGCCGGGAGGACGUUAACGAAUGGAGCGUUCGUUUCGAUUCUCCAACUAUUUUACCGAAAUACCACGCAUACCGACAUAGAAUCGUGUCCACACAGGCGCGAACCGCGCGACACAAUUUCGAAACGUUGAAAACGUUUCCUUCAUUAAAUCGUCAUUGUAAAGCUACCUGUUGCGGUGCACAGGCAGCUGGCCAAUUGGUUGACCGCAGCGGAUGCGAUCCACGACGAAUUACGAUCAAUUUAGAAAAUUAACGAUUUUUGCGGUUAACCGUGCGUUCCGUGCUUCUAGUUUCGCACUGUUACCGAAAGAAAUGCAUCGCCGCGAUUCAGAUAAAAUCUUUUAUACAUUUGAACGUAUCGAUCGCGGGAACACGGGGAAAAUGUCGUAUUCGUUCGUGCUCGGAAACGAGACCCUAACGAACCUAUUUACAUUCGAUAAUUAAACGAACGCCUACGCAACGAAGCGUGUGUGCGCCCACUUGAAAACAAAACUGCGCCCCCGGCUCGACUCGACGCGACUCGACGCGACUCGACGCGACUCGACGCGACUUGACGCUCUCGUCUGCCUCGAUUAAUAGUAGGUACAACUUUAAAACCCUCGCCUACUCGCCUCGUUGUCUUAGAAGUUUGAAUGGGCGUUACGGAGUCUGGACCCUUUGGCAGAGCGUACCAAGUACCGGCGACAUUGUCUUAGUACCGUUUCCACUUUAACCCUCGCUGAAUGCACACCAACGACAACGAGAAAACCGUCCUGAUUUACAGCCUAACCUCUUUUUAACCAAUUUCAAAUAUUAAUUAAAUAACCUUUCUUUGCCCAGACUGUUUGCGAAAUACGAAAUCAUUUCAGUGAGAAAAAAUAAUUUCAGAAAAUGGCAUGGACGAUACGUGUUCUAGCUGUCGGAAAAUUUCUCAAGUUACGAACGAGUUAAGAAGAAAGGGAAACGCGUAAACGAAUAAACUCGAGAAUGGCAGAAUAAGAAAAAGACGAGGAAUAUAAAGUCGAACGGAGCGAUGUAACGCGAUGGUACGGGAUUGGCCGUGUUCCAGAUUUCCCUAAAAUCCCCGCGGGAAAGCUAUUUGCCAAAGUUAUAACGGGGCAAAGGGUCGAUACUCGGUUUCGCCGAGGAUAUAAGCGGAUUUUUUUGCACGCGCGAUAAUUGAAGCGCGCUCAUUGUUUCUCGACCCCUUUAUCUGCAGCGCCUUUCAUUGGUCGGCUUUUUCGAAAACACCGGCUGCCAGGCUGCCAGGCUGCUAGGCUACUAACCUGCCGGGGUACGCGAAAAACGGCCACGUUGAUGGAUAAACAGACGGCAUAAUGGUGUCUGCGAUUCCGAGCAUUGUUUCAAUUUCUAUUCGCGAAUGUGUGUACGCGCGCGAAUACCCUGGCUAGUAUAUACGAGGAUAGCAAUUUGGUUGCUCGAUAGACCGGACGUAACUCGAACGCGGUACCUCUACCGAUUAAUAAAAUACGCUCCGUUCUCUGCAUUUACGUUUCCCCUUUCGUUCGCGUUGCCUCGUUGCCUCGUUCGAGCUUAGCAGUCUAACAACCACCACCACCACCAUCCAAAUUCCUCUCGAAUUAAUCGCGUCAUUGACGUCUUAAACGAUUUCCAAAAUAACCGAGUCGCUGCUCGUCGACGUUCGGGAAACUCGGUGUUUCCACUAAAACACCGUCCGAGUUUUCGCCGUAGUUGUCUGUAACUCGCGUCGUUUCCUGCGAUAACUAUCCUCGAGCGAUGGAAACGUGCAACUUCAAUUCGAACAGAACGGAGAAAUUCGAGGACGUUAGCUUUGUUUGCAAACUUUUCGCGCAAAGACGAAGAGAAAAAAAAAGAUAGGAUAGAAGGAGAAAUUCGGUGCGGUCAACUUUGGCAAUAGGAAAGCGCAGAAUCCUUUCGGUGGUAAUUUUCGGUAUUAGGGUCGUAGGGGCAACUGUUUGCCGAGAGUCGAAUCGAACAAAGUCGCGAGUACCGGUUGGUUCGCUUACCUUCGAAAGCAAACCGAGCUAGCCUCGCGUUAAACUCGCUUUGUUCGUCUUUUCAUCCAAGCGAAAGCUUCUUCAGGGUAUUUUUUGAAUCGUUGCGAUCCGAAUCUCUGACGAUCGAGAAUCGUUACAGGCAGGAUUUCGGUGAAUGGUUGUUGGUCGAUAGCGAUCUCGCGCGGCCAGUGACCAUGACGUGACGCACCGCGUCGCGAUAACGUAACUUGCUCCACCAAAAUCGGUCCACGUUACUCUGAAAUUACCAGCGAAGCUGCUUCGUAAGCCCCUUUAUUCCCUGCUUCGCGUCUCCGUUCGCUUCCAUUCCAUCCCAUUCCAUUCCAUUCCAUUCCAUUCCAUUCCACGCGCGAUUUAUUGAUCCACGCACAAUUCCACCUCGACUGUCGACUCAAACUCGACUCUGCCAGUGACGCUCAGCUACGCGCUGAUACUUCCUUUAAGGAGCUGCUUCCGCGUAAUCGCGAUUAUGAUAUAUAUCUAUUCCGAAGGAAUAUUUAGCAAAAAAGAAAAAGAGAAAAAGA